CAUUUCAUCUUCACUAAAAUCCCCAAUUCAAAUUUCCAAACCCUAACUCUCUCUACUCCCUUUCUCGGCAAAGCCGACUUCCCAAACGGAAAGGUCGACUCGAAUCCCCUUCAAUUAGGCUCCUCCUUCGUCACAGUCACCACUACCAUAUCGCCGACGCAAGCGGUGGCUACCUACUGAGGCGACCUUCGAUUUUCCUCUCUGGGACGGGGUGGCGAUCCUUCGCGCCGGGGUUAUCGGCACGAUUCCCAGCCGCCGCCACUAGACACAGGCGCCAUCCGAAACUUGCCUUCCGGCGGAUCCCCCUCGCCCUUGCUUGACAAAUUUCACGGCUCUCCGCCUCGGCCUCCGUCGCUUCGCGCAGCUGUCCUCGGAGUAGGGCGGAGGGCAUCGUCGUCGAGCUGCCGUCAUCGCGCCUUCGGCUCACCUCCGACCCCGCAGUGCUCUCGGCACGGUCGGCGCAUACUCAGCCGCUCCACCACUCCUUUAAGCAGUGCGGUCGGCGUAGCCGACGCCGCUGCUGUCUCUCAGCCGUCACCGGGUCGGCCGUCGUACCAAGCUAAGUCUCUACACUUCUUUCUCAAUUCGUUUGAUUGAGGGAUGUUUAGUGUUUAGAGGGUUCAUUCGUACCAGGUGGUUCUGGAAUAAUGUAUUGCUAGACUCGGACUGAUUAUUGUGUGUAUUUGAUGCUAAAUCUCACGGUCUUGUUGGUAAAGGGCAGAUUCUAUGCUCGCCUAUGCGUGAUAUCUUGUCAUGGUUAGCCAGUGGCUUGCGAGACUACUGGCAUAUGGUGUUGCUAACUAUUUUACUCGUUCUCCUAUAUCAUGAUCAUGCUUAUGUUCUUCUGAAACUACGGGGUUCUUAUGCUUGAGAAGUCUACAUUAUGCUAUAACUUGAUUAACUGAGUUUGAAGGGGAUUAAGGUUACCUUCACUGAACUUGUGCUGCUAUUUCUUAUCUCUGGCCUUGUUUCUCCCUCACUUCCUCUUGCUGCUUCGGUUUCCCUCUCUCUUGACUCACUGUAUUGCGAUUGUUUUGGUGAUGAUGAGGGAGGAAGAGGCUGCGGCCAAUUUAUACUCGUUUUCUAACUGAAAGCCUGCGAAAGGCUGGUGUACUUGGCUGAAAGGUAGUCCUUGUUGGACUGUGUAGUGGCUGUUUCCUCUGCAAAAAUUCGCAGGGAUGUACUCGUGAGAUGGUUGAGCCAAUGGCUCCUGGUUGUGCUCUGAUAUCAUAACUGAUCUUUUGUGCUUUAAUUCCUGCAUCCCCUUGCUGCACAUUUAACUGCAUUUGGCUUUAUUUGAGGUUUAGUACUUGGAUUAUUUAUGGGCUUUCGUCCCUUGUGGAAGGUGCACACAGGAGGUGGCAUUGUGUGGCUGAUUCCUUGACCAUGGCAGGUCUAAAUGGGGGUGUACGAGCUGCUAUCUGCAGCCUUGCAGGGUGCAACUGUUGGAGAGGGCGGUUGGCUGGACUUGCUCCUUUCGGCCCAGCUCUUUCUCACUUUUCUGAAAGGUAUUGGCAGCGCCCAACGCUAGUUGCCGAGGUUGCUUCCCUCGUGAUCUCGCCCUCUCGGGCUUUCUGGAAUCUGGGCCGAGACAGCCUAGUGAUGAAGGUCGACAUAGUCGCUAGGGGUCUCGAGUUGUAAUAGCGUAAUUCGACUUAACUUUCUUUCCAACAUGUACGCAAAACUCGUUAAUAGUUGACAUGCUAUGUGGAUAGAAUUGUCCUUCGAUCGCGGCUCGUUACCCGAACAUUCCCAACCAUCAAGGGCUGGACGAGCAAUCUCCUAAACCAACGCCAGAAAACAGAGCUUGUGCCAGGGCCAUUCAGUAGAGGCAUUAAGGAGCCAAUGUUCAACCCCCGAAGAAGCAACUUGUCUGAGAGGCUGUCAAGGUGAAUAUUGGGUCCUCAUCUGGGGUAAAGGCCAAAGAUAGCUCUACAGCUGCCCAACGUAGAAGUACCUUUGUCACAGUUAUGGAAAAUUGUCGAUGCCAUUGGAGAAUUGAUGAAGAACUUGGAAGAUGGGGCAGAUGAUGUGAAGAAUGAUGGCUGUUCUAAAAUUGCAGCCAAAUGCUCAUUGAAGAUGAUGGGGUUGCAUGAGAUGGAGCCCAAAGAAGAUGUUAAUGAAGUCCAGUUCCUGUCUCAAGCAAUGCAAGAAGACGAGCUAGACAAUCCAGAGUUUCUCGCUGCAGUGGAAAAAGUAAUGAGGAUGGCUCAACAAAGAAAGAAAUGGAAAACAGAAGGGCCAUCAUUUGAUCUAGGAUUUGAGUUUGGUGGCAGAAACGUAAGUUGAUGAUGGGUUGGCUCGUCGAACAUUGUGAUGUUGUGCGGGGAGUUUGGGUCGUUUGGAAUGUAAUUUAUAAAACACGUUACAAUGGGAUGUAAUUAACUGACAUGUGUUGAUUUGUAUUUUGGAACUAAACUGUUUUGUUUUAUGAUGGUUUUGUAACUAACUUGAUACAUUUUGGGGUUUAAAAUGGGGAUCAAUUUUUCA